rnacentral:rRNA from 1 species
UACGGAGGUGGCAAGCGUUGUUCGGAAUUACUGGGCGUAAAGGGCGCGUAGGCGGGGAGGUAAGUCGGGUGUGAAAUCCCUCGGCUCAACCGAGGAACGGCGCUCGAAACUGCUUCUCUUGAGUCCCGGAGAGGAAGGUGGAAUUCCCGGUGUAGCGGUGAAAUGUGUAGAGAUCGGGAGGAACACCGGUGGCGAAGGCGGCCUUCUGGACGGUGACUGACGCUGGCGCGAAAGCCAGGGGAGCGGACGGG